ACUCCUACGGGAGGCAGCAGUGGGGAAUAUUGGACAAUGGGCGAAAGCCUGAUCCAGCAAUGCCGCGUGAGUGAUGAAGGCCCUAGGGUUGUAAAGCUCUUUUACGCAGAGAUACUGUACCGGGAGAAUAAGCCCCGGCUAACUCCGUGCCAGCAGCCGCGGUAAUACGGAGGGGCGUAGCGUUGUUCGGAAUUACUGGGCGUAAAGCGCACGUAGGCGGCUUUGUAAGUCAGAGGUGAAAGCCUGGAGCUCAACUCCAGAACUGCCUUUGAGACUGCAUCGCUUGAAUCCAGGAGAGGUCAGUGGAAUUCCGAGUGUAGAGGUGAAAUUCGUAGAUAUUCGGAAGAACACCAGUGGCGAAGGCGGCUGACUGGACUGGUAUUGACGCUGAGGUGCGAAAGCGUGGGGAGCAAACAGGA
rnacentral:rRNA from 1 species